GAUGAACGCUGGCGGCGUGCCUAAUACAUGCAAGUCGAGCGAACGGACGAGAAGCUUGCUUCUCUGAUGUUAGCGGCGGACGGGUGAGUAACACGUGGAUAACCUACCUAUAAGACUGGGAUAACUUCGGGAAACCGUAGCUAAUACCGGAUCAUAUUUUGAACCGCAUGGUUCAAAAGUGAAAGACGGUCUUGCUGUCACUUAUAGAUGGAUCCGCGCUGCAUUAGCUAGUUGGUAAGGUAACGGCUUACCAAGGCAACGAUGCAUAGCCGACCUGAGAGGGUGAUCGGCCACACUGGAACUGAGACACAGUCCAGACUCCUACGGGAGGCAGCAGUAGGGAAUCUUCCGCAAUGGGCGAAGGCCUGACGGAGCAACGCCGCGUGAGUGAUGAAGGUCUUCGGAUCGUAAAACUCUGUUAUUAGGGAAGAACAUAUGUGUAAGUAACUGUGCACAUCUUGACGGUACCUAAUCAGAAAGCCACGGCUAACUACGUG
rnacentral:rRNA from 1 species